rnacentral:lncRNA from 1 species
AACACAACUUAAAAGUGAUAUUUCAUUCUAAUAAAAAUACAAAAUCAAGAAACAUACAUGAUACAACAAGAUAUAAAAAGUUCUUUAAACAAAAUUAAAGCGUUCCAUUUUAUUUAUUUUAUUAUGAGGAAUUAUUUGAAUAAUUAUAUAAUCACCAUCUACCCCUUGAUCUUCCAAAGAAGUAACAAGCAAUGGCUAUUAAAAUCAAUACCAAUAUAGCCAAAGGCAAUGAUAUCACUAGUACAUGCAUCUUCUCUUUUUAUAAUAUGGUAUAUUCCUGCAUUCAUACAAAAAUAUUUUUUUAUUAAUUCCAAUCAAUUGUAAGUAAGCUCAAAUUAAUUUUAGAUAUGCCAUAUCUUUAAAAUAUGCUUUAAAUUCAUACUUCCUUUGCUUUAAUUUAUAUGACAUUCAAAUUUCGAGAGUAAAUUUUUUUUAAAUGCAAUUUAUUCAUAUAUUUUUAAUGUCUGAAUGUGCGAUCAAAAUAAAAUAUUUAGUCUCAAAAUUUAAAACUAUAUCAUAUAAAUUGAGAUAAAAUUAUAUUUCAUAAUUUAAAAAUUAAAAAAAAGGUGCAAAACUCCUCCUUUACCACAAGACAAAUUAAGAAGAUAGGUACAUACCUUGUCUAGUAUCCAAACUACUUCGAUUGAACUUUUCUUGUAUUUUCCUUUUAAUUACAAAUCCCAAAACUCACAUAAAUAAAAAUGGAAAGUAAGAGUUUAAGAAAUUUUAGUAGACACAAAAAGGAAAAAUUGGAGAGUUCAUAUGAUAUAAGCAAAUUAAAAGAAUAAAAAAUAAAAAUGACAAAAGGAAAGGAAUUACCAUAAAGUGACACGAAAUGCUUUCAACUUUCUACGUGUAUGAGUUUAGACGAGGUUCCUUCCUUGUCAUGACAACCGCGCUCGAUAUGAAAUUUAUUGACUCGAUUAAUAUAAUUUUGAUAAUAUCGAUUUUUCGUUUUAAUUUACGUGAUAUAUUUUUAUUUUAUUUAUAAUUACACAACUAUAUAUAAUUCAUCGACUUCAUAUCCACCCUAAGUUGGAGGAUAUAAAUUAGAACAAACGAAGGGAGUAAUAGGAAGUACUUUCAUAAAUACAAAACCAAGAAAGAAGUGACAACAUAAUAUAGCGCUAUUUCCUUGGGUUCUAUAAUUAAAAUCCAUAUAUAACGAAUAUAAAUAUAUUAUUCAAACAAAUAUUAUUAAAUUCAGUUAAAUUUGUAUUCAGACUUCUAACUCCAUCGAGCAGAAGAAGCAUAAUAGAACAUUUUGGAGUAAAAUUUAUCAGCAACAACCCCUUGAUCUUCCACACAUGUAACAAACAAUGGCUACUAUCAAUACCAAUAUAAUCAAAGGCAAUGAAAUCACUAUUACAUACAUCUUCUAUAUAUUUCUCUUAGCCCCUCCUGCAUUGACACAAAAAAAUUUUUAUCAAUAAAUCAAUUGAUUUAUUUAGUUAAUUUACUCGCUAUGUUCUAAUUUAUGUAGCUUUAUUCAUUUUUCGAGAGUUAAAAUUUAACUAAUAGUUAAAUUGUAUCAAAAUAACUUAAUAUUUUAAAAUUAAAAAUAGAAGUACUGUAAGUUGCAAAAAUAUCCUCUCAUGCCAAUAAAAUGAAAAGAGUAUAUUAUAAAAAUAUAAAUCAAAGUCAAUAUAAUUUGAAUUUCGAAAAAAAAAUGUAUGACAUAAAUAAAAAUAAGGAGAUAAAUAACGAAGCCAACACCCAAGUAAAAUUUAAGGAUCGUUCCGUUCAUAGAAUAAGAUUAAUAUUCUUAAAUUUAAGAUUAAAUAUUUAAAUCUAUACUUUAUUUGGGUUAAAAGAUAUAACUAAUCUCGGAAUAUAUUUUUAAACUAAAUGUUAUUUUAUCUCACCCAAAAAUUAAAAAAGUUAAUCACAAAAUUAUAGUUUCAAAAUAUCUUUAUCUAUGAACUAAACGAUUCAACGAUGCAAGAACAUGAAAGAAGGUAUUUGAAAUAAAAAGAAAAGUGGUUUUUGACGAAUGCGACUCUCCUUAAUCAUUAGAAUAAUAAUUUCUAUAGAAAAUAAAAUCAGCUUUUGUAUGCCUCAAUUAAAUUUAUGCAUCUGAUCUAGUAAAUUUUUAUCACCGCUAAAAUUUAAAACUCUUUAUUAAUCACUCGAUCACAUUUUUAAUUGAGAUUUACAUGAUUUUUUGUUUCAUUUUCAUUCGAGAGAAUUUGAAUUUAAAUUAUCUGGAUCUCGAUCUUUUAAGUAGAUCUUCUUCUUCUUCCUCUUCUUUUCAACCGCAUAUUCAAUAACCAUGGCUAAAAUUACUAUAAGGCACCAAUUAACAAGCACCACCAACUCAUUACUAGUAUCAAUCACCUCCACCAUUAAUUAUAUUUUACUAUUGAUUGUUACUAUAGUUAAUCACAUCGAUUAUCAAUUAUACAUUAAUUUUUAUUAUGUUACCAUAAAUAUUGAUUGUUACAAAUAAUCACCUCUAUUAUUGGUUAUGACUGUUCAAACAUCACCUUUGGUCCACCUAUGCACAAUCAUAGACAAUAAUCACUCACCAAUCAUACAAAAUCAUGAGACAAUAUAUAUAUAGUGUUACCUUGGGCUCUAUAAUUAAAAUUCAAAUAUAACGAAUUUACUAAUAUAAAUAUAUUAUUUAAACGAAUAUUGUUAAAUUUAGACAAAUUUGUAUUCAGACUCUAGCUCCAUCGAACAGAACAAGCAUAAUAGAACAUUUUGGAGUGAAUUUUAUUAGCAACAACCCCUUGAUCUUCCACACAUGUAACAAACAAUGGCUACUAUUAAUACCAAUAUAAUCAAAGGCAAUGAAAUCACUAUUACAUACAUCUUCUAUAUAUUUUCUCUUAGCCCUCCUGCAUUGACACAAAAAUAAAUUUAUCAAUAAAUCAAUUGCUUUAUUUAGUUAUUUAAUUUAUUCACUACGUUCUAAUUUAAGUAGUUUUUCAUUUUUUAGAGUUUAAUUUAACUAAUAGUUAAUUGUUCAAAAUAACUUAAUAUUUUAAAAUUAAAAAUAGAAGUACUGUAAGUUGCAAAAAAAUAUUCUCAUGCCAAUAAAAUGAAAAAAGUAUAUUAUAAAAAAUAUAAAUCAAAGUCAAUAUAAUUUGAAUUUCGAAAAAAAAAUGUAUAACAUAAAUAAGAAUAAGGAGAUAAAUAACAAAGCCAACACCCAAGUAAAAUUUAAGGAUCGUUCGAUUCAUAGAAUAAGAUUGGAUAUUCUUAAAUUUAAGAUUAAAUAUUUAAAUCUAUACUUUAUUUGGGUUAAAAGAUAUAACUAAUAUCAGAAUAUAUUUAUACCUUAAAUUAAGUGUUAUUUUAUCUCACCCGAAAAAUUAAAAAAAAAUUGAUCACAAAAUUAUAACUUCAAAAUAUUUUAUCUAUGAACUAAACGACUCAACGAUACAAAUGCUACUCUCCUUAACUAAUCAUUAGAAUAAUUAAUUUCUAUAGAGAAUAAAAUCAGUUUUCGUAUGCCUCAAUUAAAUUUAUGUAUCUUAUCUAAUAACUUUUAUCUCCGCUAAAAUCUAAAACUCUUUAUUAAUCACUCGAUCACAUUUUUAAUUGAGAUUUAAAUGAUUUUUUUGUUUCAUUUUCAUUCAAGAGAAUUUGAAUUUAAAUUAUCUGGAUCUCGAUCUUUUAAGUAGAUCUCCUUCUUUUUUUCAACCGCGUAUUCAAUAACCAUGACUAAAAUUACUAUAAACCACCAAUUUAAAUUGUUUUUACUAUUGAUUGUCACUAUAGUUAAUCACAUCGACUAUCAAUUAUCAUUAAUUUUUAUUAUGUUACCAUAAAUAUUGAUCGUUACAAAUAAUCACCUCUAUUAUUGGUUAUGACUGUUCAAACAUCACCUUUGGUCCACCUAUGCACAAUCAUCGACAAUAAUCACUCACAAUUUAUUUUAAAUAUAUUUUACCAAUCAUACAAAAUCAUUCAAAUAAUCUUAAUUAUUUAGGUUCAAGUAAAAAGGAAAUCAAAUGAAAAAAAGAUUGUGACAAAAGGGCAUGAACCUUAAUACAUGAGGAAACAAUAGAAAUGGAUUGGUUGCUUAUCUAAUACUCAAAUUGGAUCAAUAAUUGAUAUUUAGAUUUCAUUGUAAAUCUAGUUAAUUAUUUUAUUUUUUUAAGUAACGUAAAUCAAUAAUUCAACCGCAUUCUUUUUAUUUUAGUUCGAUUAUACAUGCUAAAGUAUAUAAAAUAAGAUAGAAAUACAUACCUUUAUCUACCAAAACUUCUAGUUGAUCUUUGUUUGUCAAUAAAACAAAGCUAAAACUCACAUAAAUAGAAUGGGAAAGAGAAGAAGUUAAGCAAAUGUUAUAGAAACUUUGCAAGAAAGAAAAGACAAGUGGAGAGUGAUAUAAUGCAAUAGAAAGUAGAAGAAGAAAAGAUUGAAAAAGACAGCAACUUUAAUUCUACGUGUAUGAUGUAAGACCACAAUACAUUUAACUUUUUCUUUCGAAAUAUGAAAUUUAUCGAUCUGAUUAAUUAAAUUUCAAUCAAAUUUUAAAAAUCUUUGACUAAGAGUCAAGGGUGAAAUAUCAACCACCAAAUCACACUCUAGAGUUAUUAUCUCAUCUUCGAUAAUGGUCUAAUAUUUUGAUGUCCUAAGCAGCGAAUCACACAAUAAUUUAUGUCAAAUUUAAUGAUUAAAUUCUACUCAGACGUAGAAGUAAAUUUAAGAUUUUAAAUUUAUGAAAUCUGAAAUAUAAGAUAGAAUAAUAUACUAAUUUUUCAAAAUGGAUUAUUUACAUAUGUUUAGAAAAAAAUUUCAAUAAAAAUAUAAAUUAUAAAAUUUUAUUGAACCUAUAAUGAUGACAAUAAUUUCAACUAAAGCGAUAAGGAUAAGAAUUCUUUAUUGGAAUAUGGUUGUCCUUCUUCUAGCCAUUUCACAUUCAUCCUCUUUGAUCUUUAUACUCCUUUUAUUGCAAUUAGGUCACAAAU